AGUGAACGCUGGCGGCAGGCCUAAUACAUGCAAGUCGAACGGCAGCACAGCAGAGCUUGCUCUGUGGGUGGCGAGUGGCGGACGGGUGAGGAAUACAUGGGAAUCUGCCCAGUCGUGGGGGAUAACGUAGGGAAACUUACGCUAAUACCGCAUGCGCCCUUCGGGGGAAAGCCGGGGACCUUCGGGCCUGGCGCGAUUGGAUGAGCCCAUGUCGGAUUAGCUAGUUGGCGGGGUAACGGCCCACCAAGGCGACGAUCCGUAGCUGGUCUGAGAGGAGGAGCAGCCACACUGGAACUGAGACACGGUCCGGACUCCUACGGGAGGCAGCAGCAGGGAAUAUUGGACAAUGGGCGCAAGCCUGAUCCAGCCAUGCCGCGUGAGUGAAGAAGGCCUUCGGGUUGUAAAGCUCUUUUGUCCGGAAAGAAAAGCAUCCAGUUAAUACCUGGGUGUCCUGACGGUACCGGAAGAAUAAGCACCGGCUAACUUCGUGCCAGCCCCGCAGUAACAC
rnacentral:rRNA from 1 species